GGCGCUAUAGUGUAGUGGUUAUCACUUGGGAUUCUGAAACAACUUUCCCAAAACCCAGGUUCGAGCCCUGGUAGCGCCU